GUGUCGUAUGAAAGAGAAAAGGUUAGCACUCCCCUUGACAAGGAUGAAAGAGUCCCUCGGGCCUGACAAUUCGCAUCUAACCAUCGUGGGGUUGUUUU
rnacentral:ncRNA from 1 species